rnacentral:tRNA from 1 species
GCUGGGAUGGCCGAGUCAGGUUAAAGGCGCACGGUUGCUAACCGUGUGUGCGUUAGCACGCGAGGGUUCAAAUCCCUCUCCCAGCG